rnacentral:rRNA from 1 species
UACGGAGGAUCCGAGCGUUAUCCGGAUUUAUUGGGUUUAAAGGGUGCGUAGGCGGCUUUUUAAGUCAGCGGUGAAAUUUUGCAGCUUAACUGUAACAGUGCCGUUGAUACUGGGGAGCUAGGAUUUGGUUGCUGUGGGUGGAAUGUGUAAUGUAGCGGUGAAAUGCUUAGAUAUUACACAGAACACCAAUUGCGUAGGCAGCUUACUGAGCCGACACUGACGCUGAGGCACGAAAGCGUGGGGAUCAAACAGGAUUAGAUACCCCU